rnacentral:rRNA from 1 species
CCUACGGGUGGCAGCAGUGAGGAAUAUUGGUCAAUGGACGAGAGUCUGAACCAGCCAAGUCGCGUGAAGGAUGACUGCCCUAUGGGUUGUAAACUUCUUUUAUAUGGGAAUAAAACAGGGUAUGCAUACCCUCUUGUAUGUACCAUAUGAAUAAGGAUCGGCUAACUCCGUGCCAGCAGCCGCGGUAAUACGGAGGAUCCGAGCGUUAUCCGGAUUUAUUGGGUUUAAAGGGAGCGUAGGUGGAUUGUUAAGUCAGUUGUGAAAGGUUGCGGCUCAACCGUAAAAUUGCAGUUGAAACUGGCAGUCGUGAGUACAGUAGAGGUGGGCGGAAUUCGUGGUGUAGCGGUGAAAUGCUUAGAUAUCACGAAGAACUCCGAUUGCGAAGGCAGCUCACUGGACUGCAACUGACACUGAUGCUCGAAAGUGUGGGUAUCAAACAGGAUUAGAUACCCUAGUAGUC